CAGUCGCCGCGGUAAUACGAAGGGUGCAAGCGUUAAUCGGAAUUACUGGGCGUAAAGCGUGCGUAGGCGGUUUGUUAAGUCUGCUGUGAAAUCCCCGGGCUCAACCUGGGAAUGGCAGUGGAUACUGGCAAGCUAGAGUGUGGCAGAGGAUGGUGGAAUUCCCGGUGUAGCGGUGAAAUGCGUAGAGAUCGGGAGGAACAUCAGUGGCGAAGGCGGCCAUCUGGGACAACACUGACGCUGAGGCACGAAAGCGUGGGGAGCAAACAGGAUUAGAUACCCCCGUAGUCCCUGUCUCUUAUAC
rnacentral:rRNA from 1 species